UACGGGGGGGGCAAGCGUUGUUCGGAAUUACUGGGCGUAAAGGGUUUGUAGGUGGCUCGCUAAGUCAGACGUGAAAUCCCUCAGCUUAACUGGGGAACUGCGUCUGAGACUGGCGAGCUUGAGUGCAGGAGAGGAACGCGGAAUUCCAGGUGUAGCGGUGAAAUGCGUAGAUAUCUGGAGGAACACCGGUGGUGUAGACGGCUUACUGGACCAUAACUGACGCUGAGACACGAAAGCGUGGGUAGCAAACAGG
rnacentral:rRNA from 1 species